rnacentral:lncRNA from 1 species
UCCAGCUGCUGCCAGCAGGUGCUGACAAGUGAAGAAGUGCACGUCAGAGGAUAAGAAAAUACACUAAACAUUCAUUUUAACAAGGCCUAGAAAACCCUAGUUAUUUAAUAAAUUGCCAGGGAUAAUUAGGCUUCUGCUUCAAGGGUUGUUUUGUUUUUAACUCCGUGCACCCCAGUAGGAAUAGAGCCGUGUGUGUAGGCAGGGACCUGGGUUAUAAGAUUUAUCUGAGGGCAACUGCUGAUUCCUAUAAGCAUUUUUCUGUCUCUUUGAUCACACCCCACUUCCUGCCACAAUCAUCCAAGGUAAGUCACCCACCGACACAGACACACACAUACACACACACACACACACACACACGUUGAGCCCCCAGUCCUUUUGAUGGGUUACUCCUACAUUGUGACAGUUCAGGCUCACUUCCCUGCCAGGCCCUGAUCCAGCCAGUCUGUUUGUCCAGAAGCACAGAGCAAAACCUCCUGCUUCAGACAGAAGAGCGUGAUGAUUCGCAGCUCAGCUUUGCCCUGUCUAGUGCCCGCCCCCUCCUAGCUUAAAUCUCACGUGUAGGAAAUGGGUGUAUAAUCAUGCCCCCUCAGAGAGACAGUGUGAAGAUUAAAUACCAUAAUGCAUGUAAUGUGCUUCGACUGAGCCCGACCCAGCCUGAGAAGUGAGUUCCUAGAAUCCCGGAAGGCAUGAUAGAUUGAAUCCCCUUUCCAAGUUCUCGUCUGUCUGUGAGCAUCCCCGUGGGGUCCCAGCCCAGCCUGUCCUUCAGGAAUUUCACAUGGUGGGGGUGUCUCAUACAAUGCGUAGAUUGUAGAGGCUGGAGUUGGAAAUCUUGAGAAAUCCGUGAAGGGGGUUGGGGUGGGGGCUGGGGUGGUGCGGAGCAGGGACAAGAAAAAAGGUUCAGGGAAGAACCCUGCAGUAUUUCCAGUGAUCCAGAGAUGAGGCCUGGAAGAGCAGCAGGAACCAGCCAGGAAGGUUAGACUUGAAACAUCAGAGUAACCAUGUCCCUGAGUCCAGGCAGGAAGGAAUUCUAAGAAAGAGCAUCAGGCAUUUCAGAAAGAUAGACUAGACAAUAACUAAGAAAAAGCUUCUGAAUCAUAUUUGCCUUUUCAGUGAAUUACAAUUAAUUUGGUUUUGAGAAUUUUAAACACACACAUUGUCAUCAUUGGAAAUACCCUAGAGCAUUGUGAAAACCAGGGUUGGAAAUCACUUUACCAUCUACACUCUAAAAGCAGGAACCCGGAGUUCCCGUUGUGGCGCCGCAGAAAUGAAUCUGACUAGGGACCAUGAGGUUGCGGGUUCGAUCCCUGGCCUUGCUCGUGGAUUAAGGAUCUGGCGUUGCCAUGAGCUGUGGAGUAGGUCGCCGACGUGGCUCGGAUCUCGUGUGGCUGUGGCGUAGGCCGGUGGCUACAGCGUCAAUUAAACCCCUAGCCUGGGAACUUCCGUAUGCCACGAGAGCGGCCCUAAAAAAAGGACAAAAGACAAAUAAAUAAAUAAAAGCAGGAACCCAAUAUUUCAAGUAGAUUUUCCCUGAGCCCAGGGGAGAAAGCGGUGUGGCUGUCAAAUCUGCCUGAAGUCCUUCUCCUGAUCAUCUUUCCCCCCUUCCCGUCCCCAUGUCCUCUCCACCGUGAACAGGAAGGAGGCUGCAGAACCCCGAUUGCUUUCCCAAAUACAAUCCCUGAAAGAACCGAGGGGAGAAAUAAGAAUAGAGAACCAGAAUGUCAUCUGUUAAGGCCUCUGCCUAAUUUCUCUUAGUCCCCACCCCUGCCCGCCAUGUCUUUCAGGCCUCUUUUGCGGCUGUACAACUACCGCUGCUGUAAAGUUUUUUUGUUUGUUUGUUUUGUUUUUGCCGUAAAGUUUUGAAGGUGGUGUCAGUGGCCCAGUGGGUUUGAAGAGGGCCUUGACUUUUGAAUUUUUUAUUGUAUCCGUCAGUUGGGGAAUUUUUUUCCCUGUACACAUCGAAACAGACCCCAUACAUAUUUAAUUUUAAGCCUUAAAAAAACCUUCUGUCUCUGAGUACGACCCCAUUCAUUGCUUUUUCCACCACGUGGGUGCCAUAACCCUGGAGCAUGUGAUUUAGGGUCCUGGACUUAUUGGGGAUGUCUGGAGGUCACCGUUAAGUGGAUGCACUUCUUUAUUAAGUCAAUACUUGAUGAAGCCUUUUGAAAAUCCUACUAAGUAUGUUCGUGAGACUGCCUGCUAAGAUUACCAAAAAGAAAAAAUUUAAAGCUUACUUUUAUUGCUCCAAACCAUAAGUAAAUGGCCAGAUCUAUCUUCCUUUCAUCUAUCAUUUAUAUUUAUUACGUUUGGUGAGUCUGGCUAGUGGUUUAGAUUCCUUAGGUUUUUACUACGUCUGGGCUCCUAUUAUGCAGUCAUCUCUGAUAAAACCGAAUGGUAUACAGCCUGGGCCCUGGAGCCUAGCGUGAUGCCAAACCCCACUGCAAAUGUGUUUCCUACUAAAGCAAACUAUAGUGGAAGAUAGGAAAGAGAGGCAUUCUCCGGUCACUUUCAAUUACCAAAAAAAUCAUAAAUCACUCGUUCCCCAGAGGGCUCCCCCAGAUCACAUUUUUCUCCCUGCCUCAUUACCUCUAUUGUAAGCACUCCCUUUGCCCACAUACUCACAAGAAAGUGAUUAUGGUGGGUUGUGCCCUCCUUAAGAACAUGGCUUGCAUAAGGUUUCUUUUUUUAAGUGGAUAAUUAUUUGCAUUAAGAAUGAGUGCAUUUGGGGAGUUCCUGUUGUGGCGCAGCAGAAACAAAUCCACCUAGCAUCCAUGAGGAUGUGGGUUUGAUCCCUGGCCUUGCUCAGGGAGUUAAGGCUCAGGUGUUGCCAUGAGCUGUGGUGUUGGUCACAGAUGUGGCUCAGAUCUGGCAUUGCUGUGGCUGUGGGAUAGGCCUGCUGUGGCUGUUCCAAUUCAACCCCUAGCCUGGGAACCUUCACAUGCCUCAGCUCUAAAAGACAAAAAAAAAGAAAGAAAAAAAAAAGGUAUUCUUUUAUGUAACUGUAGUACAAGUACCAAAAUGAGGGAAUUAAUAUCACUGAUACAGAUCUAAUUCAAAUUUUUCCAAUUACCCUGAGU